rnacentral:rRNA from 1 species
GAAGACAUGAAGUUAGGUCAGCAAACCCGCUGAAUUUAAGCAUAUAAGUAAGCGGAGGAAAAGAAACUAAAURGGAUUCCCUCAGUAAUGGCGAAUGAACAGGGAUGAGCUCAGUAUGGAAAUUGGGGCCUGUGGCCUUGAAUUGUAGUCUGGAGAUGUACCACCAACUGGGGCGCAGAUGUAAGCCUCUUGGAAAAGAGCAUCAAUGAGGGUGAGAGUCCCGCAUGGCAUCUGCAGUCCCCAGUGCACGGUGUACCUUCUAAGAGUCACGUUCCUCGGGAUUGGAGCGCAAAUCGGGUGGUAAAUUUCAUCUAAAGCUAAAUAUAGUUUCGAGACCGAUAGCAAACAAGUACCAUGAGGGAAAGGUGAAAAGGACUUUGAAAAGAGAGUUAAAAGUGCCUGAAAUUGCUGAAAGGGAAGCGAAUGGAACCAGCGAAACUUGGCAAGAUUGCUGUGUGUCAAUGUGAUUGCUUGCUGCUGCAACGUAAGUGUGGUAGUAAGUCUUGAGCAGGACAUGCUCGGUGUUUCUUGCCUUGUGUGUCACCUGUGGUUCGUGAUUGAGGAAAACUUCAGGGACAUGGYAGCCUGUCUCCGGGUGGGUGAACGUGUCUGCUGGAACUCAUUCGUGGACUGCUUGGUGACUAAAUGGUUYCAUCCGACCCGUCUUGAAACAC